GGCUCAGUAGUCCAGUGGUAAAGAGCUCAUUGCGGAGCCAGAGGGUCCUGGGUUUGAUCCCCAACAGGGUCG
rnacentral:tRNA from 1 species